UUGGGAGCCGCAGCCCCGAGCCCGGUCGCCUUACUUGGCGGACGUGAGGCCUGUAGUAAAGAGUAAAGCCUGAGGUAGAUUACCCCUCCCAUCGAGCACGUUAGUUUCCUGCUUACCGCGUAAGCAACCCGCUCAACAAUAUAGUCUGCCUGGCAACUGAUGAUGUUAGCCAAUCAGCUUGCCUUGCUUACUUUAACAUGAUUGGACACUGUAUCCGUAUAUAUACUGGUGCCACCCCUGGGGGGGAAGAAGAAGCCCGGAAGUAGAAGCCCAGAAGGAGCCGCGGGGAGCGGACCAAAGGAGGCUUCGGCUGGGAGCGAUCCCAGGGCAGGCUGUACGGAGAAGGAAAAUAAAAAGAAAAGGUUGUCCACUGCCAGACUUUGUCGUGUGUCCUUCCUGCCGGCCAGGAGCGACAUCGACAUUUGGAGGCCCGCACGGGGACUGAUCACCCCCGAGACGUGACAGCGGACAACGCUCCAGUACAGAGCUGCGAGACAGGAAUCGGGACGAGAACCACUGUGGGUACCGGAGAGACUGACACGGGCGACAAAGCCCUCGACUGAAGAUCAGACCUGCCCUACUGGAGAUCCAUCACAGACCAACCAACAAGAUGAAUAAAAAUAGCGGUAGCCCAAAAUGGACAAGAAGAUCCUCAGGCAUAUGCAUGGCUCGCUCGCCUAGCCUACGACCGAGUCUAGGGGUGGUGAGCUUCCCACACUCCUCCUCUAAAAAAUUAUGACAUAGCUGGGUAGGAGAGUCAAUGACGGGUAAGAGCGUACUCCCCCGGUGCGACUCAACCUAAGCCAGGCCCUACCCCAUCCUGCACGUAAGCCGCUGGACUGUUAGAUGCUGCCCAGGUCUAAAUUUCUCUCCGAGGGGAUUUCUUUACGGAGAGGAAAUGAGUGCAAGCUUGUGUGCAUCCAGGUUCCGUCCAGUUUGUGCCUGGCCCUAGAAAAAGGACGAGGGCCUCAGGGCCUUGGCGGACCAUGGGACGGCCGACCAGGGUCUAAGCCAAGGACCUACGGUGGGCCUACACAUAGGGCAUAAGCCUCUGCACCCAGUCCAGGAAGGGCUACGAUGCGCACAUUCAUAAAAAAUAAAAAAGGGGGAGAUGUUGGGAGCCGCAGCCCCGAGCCCGGUCGCCUUACUUGGCGGACGUGAGGCCUGUAGUAAAGAGUAAAGCCUGAGGUAGAUUACCCCUCCCAUCGAGCACGUUAGUUUCCUGCUUACCGCGUAAGCAACCCGCUCAACAAUAUAGUCUGCCUGGCAACUGAUGAUGUUAGCCAAUCAGCUUGCCUUGCUUACUUUAACAUGAUUGGACACUGUAUCCGUAUAUAUACUGGUGCCACCCCUGGGGGGGAAGAAGAAGCCCGGAAGUAGAAGCCCAGAAGGAGCCGCGGGGAGCGGACCAAAGGAGGCUUCGGCUGGGAGCGAUCCCAGGGCAGGCUGUACGGAGAAGGAAAAUAAAAAGAAAAGGUUGUCCAC